GCCCUCUUAACUCAGUGGAUAGAGUAGUGGUUUCCUAAACCAAAAGUCACAGGUUCGAAUCCUGUAGAGGGUA
rnacentral:tRNA from 2 species